rnacentral:rRNA from 1 species
CCUACGGGAGGCAUCAGUGGGGAAUAUUGCACAAUGGGGGAAACCCUGAUGCAGCGACGCCGCGUGAGUGAAGAAGUAUUUCGGUAUGUAAAGCUCUAUCAGCAGGGAAGAAAAUGACGGUACCUGAUUAAGAAGCCCCGGCUAACUACGUGCCAUCAGCCGCGGUAAUACGUAGGGGGCAAGCGUUAUCCGGAUUUACUGGGUGGAAAGGGAGCGUAGACGGCAGCACAAGUCUGGAGUGAAAUGCCGGGGCUUAACCCCGGAACUGCUUUGUGAACUGUGCAGCUAGAGUGCAGGAGAGGUAAGUGGCAUUCCUAGUGUAGCGGUGAAAUGCGUAGAUAUUAGGAGGAACACCAGUGGCGAAGGCGGCUUACUGGACUGUAACUGACGUUGAGGCUCGAAAGCGUGGGGAGCAAACAGGAUUAGAUACCCGUGUAGUC